AACGCACGAGACCUGCGGACCUGCGGAGGGAUCAUUAAUGAGAAGCUGCCCCUCGUGGGUAGACCUCCCACCCUCUGUGAACUUACCUUUGUUGCUUUGGCAGGCCCGUCCCCUGGACCGCCGGCUUCGGCUGGCCCGUGCCUGCCAGAGGAUUCCAAACCCUGUCUGUCAGUGUUGUCUGAGUCUAUAUGAAAUCGUUAAAACUUUCAGCAAUGGAUCUCUAGAUCGGAAGAGCACACG
rnacentral:misc_RNA from 1 species